rnacentral:rRNA from 1 species
CGCGUAGGCGGCCAACUAAGUCUGGAGUGAAAGUCCUGCUUUUAAGGUGGGAAUUGCUUUGGAAACUGGAUGGCUUGAGUGUAGGAGAGGUUAGUGGAAUUCCCGGUGUAGCGGUGAAAUGCGUAGAGAUCGGGAGGAACACCAGUGGCGAAGGCGACUAACUGGACUAUGACUGACGCUGAGGCGCGAAAGUGUGGGGAGCAAACA